CGUGCGAAAUUCGCAAAUUUUUCGCCGAAACGAAAUGGCGCAAAUUUGCCCAUCACUAGUAUGGAGUGAACAUUUCAAGUAAUCCUAAAACUACUGAUAAAGACGCAUUAAAAAUAUUUUAUAAGAACAAUUGUGGCAAUAAGCUCUACAACAGAAGAUUGUGAUAUUUUCGAAAGAUGUCUCCUUUAACAAGCCUGCAGCUCAGGGUGUCCUUCUGCUACCUUCUACAGUUCUGGUGCUAUAAGCUUCACAUGGAUUAGCAAAGUCAACAGGUCUGCAGCCUAUUGGAGCUUUGCACUAAGCUGGAACAAAAAUGGCUACAAAAUCCUGCUUUUCACAGAUUUCUAUUCCUACUGGCUAAAUUCAUUAUUGUAAUACUUUGCUUGAUGACUUCUUCUUUCUCUCCAGACAUCUCAAUAAUGUUGAUGCCACCAUGUCCAUUAUUGAUAUAUCCACGAUGACUGGCUUUUCUCCUGAUACCGAAUCCCUGGAUAGACUAAUGAAAGGAGUGGACAAAUAUAUCUCCAAGUAUAAAGUCAACAAAGGAGCAAAUGACAAGGGAACCCUUAUUCUCUACUUGGACAAGAUCUCCAACACAGAGGAAGAAUAUUGCUCACCAAUACUUUGAAGUUGGUUUCAUCCAGCCGGCUUCUGUGAUCGUAUAUAAGUAUUAUAAUCCAGGUAAUUCUGCUAUAUCCAUACACUGCCAUAUCCAUAUACUGC